rnacentral:rRNA from 1 species
GACGAACGCUGGCGGCGUGCUUAACACAUGCAAGUCGAGCGGUAAGGCCCUUCGGGUACGACGAGCGGCGAACGGGUGAGUAACACGUGGGUGACCUGCCUCUAGCUCUGGGAUAAGCCUGGGAAACUGGGUCUAAUACCGGAUAUGACUCCACGGCGCAUGUUGUGGGGUGGAAAGCCUUGUGUGGCUAGAGAUGGGCCCGCGGCCUAUCAGCUUGUUGGUGGGGGAUGGCCUACCAAGGCGACGACGGGUAGCCGGCCUGAGAGGGCGACCGGCCACACUGGGACUGAGACACGGCCCAGACUCCUACGGGAGGCAGCAGUGGGGAAUCUUGCGCAAUGGGCGAAAGCCUGACGCAGCGACGCCGCGUGAGGGAUGACGG